rnacentral:rRNA from 1 species
UACGGAGGAUCCAAGCGUUAUCCGGAUUCAUUGGGUUUAAAGGGUGCGUAGGCGGACUGAUAAGUCAGCGGUGAAAUCCCACGGCUCAACUGUGGAACUGCCGUUGAUACUGUUAGUCUUGAAUGCAGAUGAUGUGGGCGGAAUAUGACAUGUAGUGGUGAAAUACUUAGAUAUGUCAUAGAACACCGAUUGCGAAGGCAGCUCACAAAACUGUGAUUGACGCUGAGGCACGAAAGCGUGGGGAUCAAACAGG